rnacentral:piRNA from 1 species
UGAUAGGAAUGUGGGGAUUGCUUAAAU